UAGCAUGACUUUUUUUUCUAAAAAACUUAAAUUUGCGUUCAUCUGAAGAAAAUAAGUCGAAAAUAAGUCAAGCAGGGUUGAGCCUGGUCAGUACCUGGAUGGGAGACCUCCUGGGAAAACUAGGUUGCUGUUGGAA
ensembl:rRNA 5S_rRNA 5S ribosomal RNA